rnacentral:rRNA from 1 species
AAUCGAACCCGGAGAUAGCUGGUUCUCCUCGAAAUAGCUUUAGGGCUAGCCUCAUGGAUCAUUGGUGGGGGUAGAGCACUGAAUGUGCGCGGGGGCCACAAAGCCUACCAAACGCUAUCAAACUUCGAAUACCAUACAAUGCAGACCAUGGGAGUCAGUCCGCGAGAGAUAAGUUCCGCGGGCAAAAGGGGAACACCCCAGAUCAACCGCUAAGGUCCCCAAGUUCACGUUAAGUGGAGAAGGAUGUGGAAUUGCACAGACAACCAGGAUGUUGGCUCAGAAGCAGCCACACAUUUAAAGAGUGCGUAAUAGCUCACUGGUCGAGUGAUUGUGCGCCGAAGAUGUCCGGGGCUAAACGUGACACCGAAGCGAUGGGUGCAUCUGAAGAAGAUGCGCGGUAGAGGAGCAAUGUGCAGAGGCAGAAGCCGUAUCGAGAGGCACGGUGGACACUGCACAAGAGAGAAUGCCGGUAUGAGUAGCGAGAGGCAUGCGAGAAACAUGCCCGUCGAAAGCCCAAGGUUUCCUGGGGAAGGUUCAUCCGCCCAGGGUAAGUCGGGGCCUAAGCCGAGGACGGAAGUCGUAGGCGAUGGACAGCAGGUGUAGAUUCCUGCACUACCGAUGGAAUGAAGCAGUGACACAGAAGGAUAACUCGAGCAGGGUGAUGGUCAACCCUGUGCAAGCAUCAAGGUUGGGUUGUAGUGAAGUACGCAAUCCUACAAGCUGAGAUGUGAUGCGGACCGAAAUUUCAGUAGGGAAGCGAGUGAGUUCACGCUGGCGAGAAAAGCUGCUAGUAUAUCCAAAGGUACCCGUACCGGAAACCGACGCAGGUGGGCGAGGAGAGAAUCCUGAGACGAACGGGAGAACCCUUGUUAAGGAACUCGGCAAAAUGACCCCGUAACUUCGGGAGAAGGGGUGCCUCGAAAGAGGCCGCAGAGAAUAGUCACAAGCGACUGUUUAGCAAAAACACAGGUAUCUGCGAAAGCGAGAGCUGACGUAUAGGUGCUGACACCUGCCCGGUGCUGGAAGGUUAAGGGAACAUGUUAGAGCAAUCGAAGCAUCGAACCGAAGCCCCAGUAAACGGCGGCCGUAACUAUAACGGUCCUAAGGUAGCGAAAUUCCUUGUCGGGUAAGUUCCGACCCGCACGAAUGGUGUAACGACUUGUGAGCUGUCUCAACAGGGGGCCCGGUGAAAUUGAAGUAUGGGUGAAGAUGCCCAUUACCCGCGACUGGACGGAAAGACCCCGUAGAGCUUUACUGCAGCCUGAUAUUGAGUUUCGGUAACUGAUGCACAGGAUAGGUGGGAGUCUGAGAGACAUGGGUUUCGGCUCAUGUGGAGACGGUGUUGGGAUACCACUCUUCGGUUACUGAAAUUCUAACAUAGCUCUGUGAAACCAGAGGAUGGACAGUGUCAGGUGGACAGUUUGACUGGGGCGGUCGCCUCCGAAAGAGUAACGGAGGCGCCCAAAGGUACCCUCAGAAUGGAUGGAAACCAUUCGAAGAGCGCAAAGGCAGAAGGGUGCCUGACUGCGAGAUUGACAAAUCGAGCAGAGACGAAAGUCGGGCUUAGUGAUCCGGCGGUAUUGAGUGGAAAAGCCGUCGCUUAACGGAUAAAAGCUACCUCGGGGAUAACAGGCUGAUCUCCCCCAAGAGUCCACAUCGACGGGGAGGUUUGGCAC